GAUGAACGCUGGCGGCGUGCCUAAUACAUGCAAGUCGAGCGAACUGAUUAGAAGCUUGCUUCUAUGACGUUAGCGGCGGACGGGUGAGUAACACGUGGGCAACCUGCCUGUAAGACGGGGCUGACUUCGGGAAACCGAAGCUAAUACCGGAUAGGAUCUUCUCCUUCAUGGGAGAUGAUUGAAAGAUGGUUUCGGCUAUCACUUACAGAUGGGCCUGCGGUGCAUUAGCUAGUUGGUGAGGUAACGGCUCACCAAGGCAACGAUGCAUAGCCGACCUGAGAGGGUGAUCGGCCACACUGGGACUGAGACACGGCCCAGACUCCUACGGGAGGCAGCAGUAGGGAAUCUUCCGCAAUGGACGAAAGUCUGACGGAGCAACGCCGCGUGAGUGAUGAAGGCUUUCGGGUCGUAAAACUCUGUUGUUAGGGAAGAACAAGUACGAGAGUAACUGCUCGUACCUUGACGGUACCUAACCAGAAAGCCACGGCUAACUACGUGCCAGCAGCCGCCGUAAUAC
rnacentral:rRNA from 1 species